GAUGAACGCUGGCGGCGUGCUUAACACAUGCAAGUCGAACGGAAAGGCCUCAGCUUGCUGGGAUACUCGAGUGGCGAACGGGUGAGUAACACGUGGGUGAUCUGCCCUGCACUUUGGGAUAAGCUUGGGAAACUGGGUCUAAUACCGAAUAUGACCACUUCUUGGAUGUUGUGGUGGAAAGCUUUUGCGGUGUGGGAUGAGCCUGCGGCCUAUCAGCUUGUUGGUGUGGUAAUGGCCUACCAAGGCGGCGACGGGUAUCCGGCCUGAGAGGGUGUACGGACACAUUGGGACUGAGAUACGGCCCAGACUCCUACGGGAGGCAGCAGUGGGGAAUAUUGCACAAUGGGCGCAAGCCUGAUGCAGCGACGCCGCGUGGGGGAUGAAGGCCUUCGGGUUGUAAACUCCUUUCGCUAUCGACGAAGCCUUUUAGGUGACGGUAGGUAGAUAAGAAGCACCGGCUAACUACGUGCCAGCAGCCGCCGUAA
rnacentral:rRNA from 1 species